rnacentral:rRNA from 1 species
GGGGAAUAUUGCACAAUGGGNGNAANCCUGAUGCAGCGACGCCGCGUGAGGGAAGAAGGCCUUCGGGUUGUAAACCUCUUUCGGCAGGGACGAAGCGAAAGUGACGGUACCUGCAGAAGAAGCGCNGGCCAANUACGUGCCAGCAGCCGCGGUAAGACGUAGGGCGCAAGCGUUGUCCGGAUUUAUUGGGCGUAAAGAGCUCGUAGGCGGCUUGUCGCGUCGACUGUGAAAACCCGCAGCUUAACUGCGGGACUGCAGUCGAUACGGGCAGGCUAGAGUUCGGUAGGGGAGACUGGAAUUCCUGGUGUAGCGGUGAAAUGCGCAGAUAUCAGGAGGAACACCGGUGGCGAAGGCGGGUCUCUGGGCCGAUACUGACGCUGAGGAGCGAAAGCGUGGGGAGCGAACAGGAUUAGAUACCCUGGUAGUCCACGCUGUAAACGUUGGGCGCUAGGUGUGGGGGGCCUCUCCGGUCCUCUGUGCCGCAGCUAACGCAUUAAGCGCCCCGCCUGGGGAGUACGGCCGCAAG